rnacentral:rRNA from 1 species
UGGGGAAUAUUGCACAAUGGGCGCAAGCCUGAUGCAGCCAUGCCGCGUGUAUGAAGAAGGCCUUCGGGUUGUAAAGUACUUUCAGCAGUGAGGAAGGGGUGUACGUUAAUAGCGUGCAUCUUUGACGUUAGCUGCAGAAGAAGCACCGGCUAACUCCGUGCCAGCAGCCGCGGUAAUACGGAGGGUGCGAGCGUUAAUCGGAAUUACUGGGCGUAAAGCGCAUGCAGGUGGUUUGUUAAGUCAGAUGUGAAAGCCCGGGGCUCAACCUCGGAAUUGCAUUUGAAACUGGCAGACUAGAGUACUGUAGAGGGGGGUAGAAUUUCAGGUGUAGCGGUGAAAUGCGUAGAGAUCUGAAGGAAUACCGGUGGCGAAGGCGGCCCCCUGGACAGAUACUGACACUCAGAUGCGAAAGCGUGGGGAGCAAACAGGAUUAGAUACCCCCGUAGUCC